AUUCGAGGCAGAACUGCUCGGGUAUCUCGCCCUGCUUCAGUGUGAACCAGCGACGCCGCCAACGCUGCAAAGAUACAAUGGAAACAAGGCGUUAAAGAGUUGGAAUGAGGCGCAAAUGAACGAUGGACUGUGGAUGGUGAUAUGGGGGUGCAGCAGUCCACUACCGAUCCGGCUGACCAGCUUAACGACUGACUAUACCAUACUAUCAACAUUAACUGGUGCCACACGAAUCAACACCCCACGCCCACGUUACCGUUAAAUGAUUGCCAAAACAGCUGAUGAGUGGUUUGAAAACUCCAACUGAUAAUGGAUGGUUUUAUUCGGACUGUAUAAUAUCACGCUUAAUUGAAUUAUAAACAAUAAACAUAAUGCCACACACAAGCCAGAAAUUGGCACCCCCAGGCGCUUGAAAUACGCAGCUUAUUUUCUUGAGGCAUCAUUAUUGUUUGUUUAUACAGUGGUGCUCAAAAUAAUAGCAACGAAAGUUUAUGUUGAUAAUUCUAAAAAUGGAAUGUUUACGUUUUACUUGCCUAGAAUUUUGAAUUUUCAGGAAGACUUUUGUAAUUUCAACCUUGAUUUCUAGCUUUUGUAAGUAUUCAUCAAAGAUCAAUCGGAUUACAAAGUAUAUUUUACUAUCUUUUCGGAUUGAUUUCCAAAAACGGGUGGUUUAAUUUGUAAAUGAAGAAAGAUAAGUUAUACUAUUUUGACAGUUAUUGUAUGCUUAAGCAAAAGCAAGCAAAGUGAGUACAGUGAAACCAUAAAUUUGGCUUUCAGUAAUUGAAAAAUGCUGACCUUUUGAUCAACGUUUUGGGUGUUCUUGGAACUUUCGUAUCCAUUAUAAGUGGUUUGAAGUGUACACUUUAGAGAUGGG